UACAGAGGGUGCAAGCGUUGCUCGGAUUUACUGGGCGUAAAGCGUACGCAGACGGCUUGGAAGGUCGGACGUGAAAGCCCCGGGCUCAACCCGGGAAAUGCGUCCGAAACCACCUUGCUUGAGUAUGAGAGAGGAAAGCGGAAUUCCUGGUGUAGAGGUGAAAUUCGUAGAUAUCAGGAGGAACAUCUGCGGCGAAGGCGGCUUUCUGGCUCAUUACUGACGUUCAGGUACGAAAGCGUGGGUAGCAAACAGG
rnacentral:rRNA from 1 species